GCUUGUCUCAAAGAUUAAGCCAUGCAUGUCUAAGUGUAAGCAAUUAUACAGUGAAACUGCGAAUGGCUCAUUAUAUCAGUUAUAAUUUACUUGAUAGUUCCUACUACUUGGAUACCCGUAGUAAUUCUAGAGCUAAUACAUGCAUCAAACCCCGACUUCUGGAAGGGGUGUAUUUAUUAGAUGGAAACCAAUGCAGGGCAACCUGGAAUAUGGUGAUUCAUAAUAACUCGCGGAUCGGUUUACCGAUGCAUCAUUCAAGUUUCUGCCCUAUCAGCUUUGGAUGGUAGGGUAUUGGCCUACCAUGGCUUUAACGGGUAACGGAGAAUUAGGGUUCGAUUCCGGAGAGGGAGCCUGAGAGAUGGCUACCACAUCCAAGGAAGGCAGCAGG
rnacentral:rRNA from 1 species